rnacentral:lncRNA from 1 species
GAGGAAUUUUUUCAUUUCUCACCAAUGGCUUUGAGGGGCACUCGGAGAGUGACAUCUGCCCAGACCAAUAAGGGCCAUCCUAUCCCCCGCGUCCCCCCUCCCCCCACCUCUUAUCUCUUCAGAGCGGUAAAUAAGGAAACCGGCAUGGGUGGAUUCGGUUAAUUAGACGGUGCUGAACGAAGGGAAGGGUGCUGGUGAGGGCGCGGCGCGAGAAGGAGGCUUCAAGCUGCCACAACCCUCCCCCACCCCUCCCCGCGGUGGUUGCGACAGAACGGGUUCAGCCGCCAUCAUGUUCUAGCUUUCCCCUUCACCUCAGUACGCGACCGAAAAAGCGGCCUCUGUGGGGGUCGGGGGCGUGGCCCCGUGAUUGGCGCAGGCGUGCCAGCCAAUCUCAGCUCGCUCAACGGGAAGGUCCCGGCCAAUAAGAGGCAGCGACGGCGGCGAGGAGCGAAGGGGCGGGCCGAGGGCUUGACGGGCAGUCGCACUGGGCCAGUGGGAGGAGGGCGGUGGCGGCGCGUGGCCAAUGGCGUGCCCGAGGAGGCGGGUCCCCGGCUGUUUGUGUUGUGGCCGGGGCGGGGGGAGGGAGGCGGAGGGGGAAAGUUUGUUUAUUUUGUUUUGAGUUUCUGGGUCCGCGGCGCUCGCGGAGGUGAAGAGGGAGGGAGUCGCCCCCGCCCCCUCGGGCCGCGUCUCCCACGCCGUCUCCUCGGCCGGCGGGGACUCAGCCCAGCGCGCCGCCGCCGCCACCGGCUCAGCGGUAUUGGCGCAAAGAAUUGGGUACCCUACACACAACCCCAAAUCAGAGGCUGUAUCCCAAAGCUGAAGAUUAGCCAUUGGUGCGUGCCACCGUAACUCGUCCGUCCUCGAGCCUCGUUAGGGAAAUGCUUGACUAAGAAACAUGGAUGUUCCAGGUUAGUGUCUGGGCCUUCGUUAUGUGACUUCUUGGGGGAAAUAAAGGCUUUAUUUAUGGUUCA